rnacentral:rRNA from 1 species
CCUACGGGAGGCAGCAGUGGGGAAUAUCGGACAAUGGGGGCAACCCUGACCCAGCCAUGCCGCGUGUGUGAAGAAGGCCUUUUGGUUGUAAAGCACUUUAAGCAGUGAAGAAGACUCCAUGGUUAAUACCCAUGGACGAUGACAUUAGCUGCAGAAUAAGCACCGGCUAACUCUGUGCCAGCAGCCUACGGGAG